rnacentral:rRNA from 1 species
AUUGAACGCUGGCGGCAUGCCUUACACAUGCAAGUCGAACGGUAACAGGUCUUCGGAUGCUGACGAGUGGCGAACGGGUGAGUAAUACAUCGGAACGUGCCCAGACGUGGGGGAUAACGAGGCGAAAGCUUUGCUAAUACCGCAUACGAUCUAAGGAUGAAAGCAGGGGACCGCAAGGCCUUGCGCGUUUGGAGCGGCCGAUGGCAGAUUGGGUAGUUGGUGGGAUAAAAGCUUACCAAGCCGACGAUCUGUAGCUGGUCUGAGAGGACGACCAGCCACACUGGGACUGAGACACGGCCCAGACUCCUACGGGAGGCAGCAGUGGGGAAUUUUGGACAAUGGGCGAAAGCCUGAUCCAGCAAUGCCGCGUGCAGGACGAAGGCCUUCGGGUUGUAAACUGCUUUUGUACGGAACGAAAAGACACUGGCUAAUACCUGGUGUUGAUGACGGUACCGUAAGAAUAAGCACCGGCUAACUACGUGCCAGCCGCCGCAGUAACAC